rnacentral:rRNA from 1 species
GGACCAGGUCAUACCUCCUUGUCUGUGGCCGUUCUCGUCUGAUCUCUGAAGCUAAGCAGGGUCUGGCCACUUGGAUGAGAGAUCACUGGGAAUAUCAGGUGCU